ensembl:lncRNA
GUAGCUGCUGUGCUGCAGAAUUCAGAAGCAGAUUUGAACCAGUUGGUCUCCAGAAAAAAAUCAAGUAUGUUUUUCAUACAUGUGACUUAUCAUACGGUACCUUUGGUUCAUUCCACCUAGAUGAUGGUUUAAGAGAGAUUCUCUGUAUUUAAAAUACAACAUAUUUAAAACUGUCUUCUAGCAAUUACUCACCAGAACCACAUUCUCCCACUGGAAGUCACUGAAACAUGCUGUGGAGAGCCUUGAAGCUGUCAAAAGCCUUGGGAAAUGGACUUGUCUGAACAAACAAUGGAUUGGUCUUCAAAAGCAAUUACCAGGUAAAAGAUGUCACAAACAAAUGCUCCAAAAGGGCUCUUCACAACCCACAGGAUCCCUCCAGGAACACCCACAACGUGGUGAGCAGCUGGGCUACCACAGGCAGCAUGCAAACCGGCAGGAAGCAACAAUAGCUCUGAAGCCAAGGAGAAAAGAAAAGCUACAGAACCCAGAUCUGUUUUUUCUUCAAAAUUUCAUAGUCAUUGUAUUUUCAAUCUACAGAGAGUACAAAUUUUUUGGGUCCUCAUCCAGAUUACAUGUAUUCACAAAAAUAACUGUACCCAGCAAAACUGUCUCAGCCAACUCAGAGAAACUCAGUAAUAUUGCAUUUACUGACAGAAGCGUUUGCAGGAUCUGAGAUUCAAUUGCUAAUGAAGAUGUUAAAUAGGAACAAUCCUGAAACUGCACCCUUCAUUACCCUACUAGAUAUUUUUCCCCUAGUCACUAUCAUAAUCUUUUGUUUAUCGUCUUUCAGCUGUUUUUAACACACAUGCUCCUAUAAAAAUCAUUGCAAUUCAUUUUCCACUUAGAAUAGCAAAAGACACUGCAGUGAAAAAUUCAGGAACAUAUGGAUACAAACUUUAUCCUCUGAAAGACAUGAGAAUUGCUGGAAAAACUGCAGAGUCUGCUGAAGUUGUGGCAGAUGUGUGCAGCAGACACAGCCAAGCAAGUUUCACAGGAGCAAGCUCAGAAAAAAUCGAGCUUUGACAGCAAAAAAGGGUCGGCAGAACACCAUCACUGCUGCUCUCCAUGUCAACAAGGCUAACUGGGUAUGAGUACUCAACACAGCUAGUUUAGAGCUCCCACAUUUGUGUACUGUAUCUUACAGCUCCAGCAGUGUUAGCUGAACUCUAAAGAGGAACCAUUCAAGAAGGUGGCCUUGUAGCUGAAACAUCUGGCAGACUCCCAUUUAAUUUCUAAUUCGGCCCUCUGUAUUCCUGAGCAACCUGAAAUUUGGAGGUCCAGCUCCCAGUGUUUUCAGUGUUAGAGAGCUUUCUACAUACAAUCAUGCAUCUGUGUGUUUUCAGGUUCCAAUCCAAAGCCUGCAGGCAUCAGGAAAUCUAAGGUUUGGGGCAGAGGCUCUCUUAGUAGGCAAAAUGAAGGUGAAAGCAUUUCCUCCUCCCAUCUCCUGGCUGUUUCACCUGGAUAGAAUAUAAAUUUAUCACUGCAAGGACUGCAUCCUAUACUGCUUUACUGGAGUGCCUGUGCUAGGUUCUCAAAUCUAUUACCAUUACUGUGAUACAAAUAAAUGAGAAUACUGAAUUACUUUCAUGUUUCCUUAUUAUCAG